AAUUUUGGACAAUGGGGGAAACCCUGAUCCAGCCAUCCCGCGUGUAUGAUGAAGGCCUUCGGGUUGUAAAGUACUUUUGGCAGAGAAGAAAAGGUACCUCCUAAUACGAGGUACUGCUGACGGUAUCUGCAGAAUAAGCACCGGCUACCUACGUGCCAGCAGCCGCGGUAAUACGUAGGUUGCAAGCGUUAAUCGGUAUUACUGGGCGUAAGGCGUGUGUAGGCGAUUCAGAAAGACAGAUGUGAAAUCCCAGAGCUCCACCUUGGAACUGCAUUUUUAACUGCCGAGCUAGAGUAUGUCAGAGGGGGGUAGAAUUCCACGUGUAGCAGUGAAAUGCGUAGAUAUGUGGAGGAAUACCGAUGGCGAAGGCAGCCCCCUGGGAUAAUACUGACGCUCAGACACGAAAGCGUGGGGAGCAAACA
rnacentral:rRNA from 1 species